GACGAACGCUGGCGGCGUGCUUAACACAUGCAGGUCGAACGAAAAGAGGGGAAGAGCUUGCUCUUUUCAGAAUUGAGUGGCAAACGGGUGAGUAACACGUAAACAACCUGCCUUCAGGAUGGGGACAACAGACGGAAACGACUGCUAAUACCGAAUAAGUUCCAAGAGCCGCAUGGCCCAUGGAAGAAAAGGUGGCCUCUACCUGUAAGCUAUCGCCUGAAGAGGGGUUUGCGUCUGAUUAGCUGGUUGGAGGGGUAACGGCCCACCAAGGCGACGAUCAGUAGCCGGUCUGAGAGGAUGAACGGCCACACUGGAACUGAGACACGGUCCAGACUCCUACGGGAGGCAGCAGUGGGGAAUAUUGCACAAUGGGGGAAACCCGUGAUGCAGCGACGCCGCGUGAGCGAAGAAGUAUUCGGUAUGUAAAGCUCUAUCAGCAGGGAAGAAAAAAAUAGACGGUACCUGACUAAGAAGCCCCGGCUAACUACGUAG
rnacentral:rRNA from 1 species